UAUGUGACAACUCCUAUCCCUACCUCCACGCGGUACCGGCCGGAAACUAUGAGCAACCUUAGGGAAGAUCGGGUAACCAACCCCGGUGGGAACUUUGGUCGUAGGCUGACAGGGAAGG
rnacentral:ribozyme from 1 species